UAACAGUCAUCCACCCGUUAAGGACAGCAGCCAUGCCACUGUCUUCACACAGCAGGAUUUCAGGAAUCACAAUGCUUAUCUUUACCAAAAGGACACUUACCAUGACCUUGCUCCAACGGUAAUGCUCUGCAAUCAAGAUGGAAACUCAGCAGAAGAGGAAGCUACAACCAUGCAAUCUGCAACGGUAAUGUCCUGCAAUCAAGAUGGAAACCUUGCUCCAACGGUAAUGCUCUGCAAUCAAAAUGGAAACUUAGCAGAAGAGGGAGCUACAACCAUGCAAUCUGCAAUGGUAGUCUUCUGCAAUCAAGAUGGAAACUCAUGCAAUCUGCAACGGUAAUAUUGAGCAAUCAAGAUGGAAACUCAACAGAAGUGGUGGAUGCUUGAUCAAAUCUCUCAAAGAAGGAAAGGAUUCUGGUGUUUAUGGAAAAUAAACUUUUCCUAGAUAACACAAUUGUUGAUUGUAUAUAAGGAUAUCCCUGCGUACUGUAAUCCUUGUGCUCGCGUUUUCUUUCUUCAUUCCAAUAAAAGAGAAUUAAUUCACCACCAUCCUCUGCUAUAUUUUUCUUAUGUUAUCAGAGCUGGAGUAAGCAUCAGCACAAAUCUUCCGCUGUCAACAAUGAAUACACUAUCUUUGAAUGUUGAAAACUUUGUUACACUAAAACUCAGCCCAACCAACUACUCUUUAUGGCGUGAACAAGCCUUAGCCCUUGCAGAAAACAAAGAUUUGGUAGGUCAUCUUACCAAUGAAGAACCUGCCCCUACACAAUACAUUUCACCAACACCAAAUACCAUCAAUAUUUCAGAUAUUAAACACUCAGAGCUUGAGCUAACAGAAGACUUUGUUCCCUGGAAAAAAUUGGAUCGUCUUCUUCGUGGUUGGAUCAUUGGAACACUCUCUGAAGAAGCCCUUGGACUCGUCUUCUUCUUCUUCUUCU
rnacentral:lncRNA from 1 species